rnacentral:rRNA from 1 species
GUCAAGUCAUCAUGGCCCUUAUGUCCAGGGCUACACACGUGCUACAAUGGGGGGCACAAAGCGGAGCAAGCCCGCGAGGGCGACGCGAAACGCCGAAAGCCUCCCGUAGUCCGGAUUGAAGUCUGAAACCCGACUUCAUGAAGUUGGAAUCGCUAGUAAUCGCGCAUCAGCAUGGCGCGGUGAAUACGUUCCCGGGCCUU